rnacentral:rRNA from 1 species
GAUGAACGCUAGCUACAGGCUUAACACAUGCAAGUCGCGGGGCAGCAUGGGGGUUGCUUGCAAUCCCCGAUGGCGACCGGCGCACGGGUGAGUAACGCGUAUCCAACCUGCCCUUCACCACGGGAUAACCCGGCGAAAGUCGGACUAAUACCGUAUGUUGUCCAUUGACGGCAUCCGAUUUGGACGAAAGGUUUGUCGGUGUAGGAUGGGGAUGCGUCCGCUUAGCGGGACGGCGGGGUGACGGCCCACCGUGGCGACGAUCGGGAGGGGUGCUGAGAGGAAGGUCCCCCACACUGGAGCUGAGACCCGGUCUAGACUCCUACGGGGGGCAGCAGUAAGGAAUAUUAGUCGAUGGACGUAAGCCUGAACCAGCCGAGUAGCGUGCAGGAUGACGGCCCUAUGGGAUGUAAACUGCUUUUAUGCGGGGAUAAAGUGGCCCACGUGUGGGUUUUUGCAGGUACCGAAUGAAUAAGGACCGGCUAAUUCCGUG